rnacentral:rRNA from 1 species
GUGCCAGUAGCCGCGGUAACACGGGGGUUGCGAGCGUUGUCCGGAAUUACUAGGCGUAAAGGGCAGGCAGGCGGAUCCAUAAGUUUAUCGUUUAAGGCGUCGGCUUAACCGGCGUAGGGCGGUAGAUACUGUGGAUCUGGAAUGCGGUUGGGGAAGACAGAAUUCCUGGUGUAGCGGUGGAAUGCGCAGAGAUCAGGAGGAAUACCGAAGGCGAAGGCAGUCUUCCAAGCCGUUAUUGACGCUCAACUGCGAAGGUGUGGGUAUCAAACAGGAUUAGAUACCCUGGUAGUCCACACAGUAAACGAUAAUCACUGGGGUGUCGGGGUUCCGCAUAGGAUUUCCGGUGCCUGUAGCUAACCGCGUUAAGUUGAAUUUCGCUCUGGGGGAGUACCGAUCGCAAAGGGUUUGAAAACUCAAAGGAAAUUUGGACCGGGGGGCCCCGCACAAGGCGGGUUGGGAGCAUGGGGGGUUUUAAAUUUCGGAAAGCCAACCGCCGGAAGAAACCCUUACCCCCGGGUCUUUGACAAUCCGGGGGGGAAUUCCCUCA